AAACAGAGAGCACUGUGAGAACCAGGAGAAAUGCAUGCACCAUUGCUGUCUCAGAGGGCAAGACACACAGACAAUAACAAACAGGCCUGAGCCUGAGACCUUCUACUCAAGCAUUGAGAUGAACAGUUUGGGACCAGGACCCUCAGGCUGCUGCCUGGAUCUUCCAGCACUCAGUGCCCUGCCUAGCAGUACAGAGACUGACCAUAAACUCACUGCAAUUACAAUCUUGCAAAGACACCAGCUGUCAAGGGCUUUGCAAAUGCACACUGGGCACUCACUCUCCCUGACUUUAUUCCUGAAUUCUUCAUUCAGUCCACAAGUUCUGCUUUUCAAUAAAUGGAAGCAGAUGAGUCCAUUUUCCAUCUCGCUCCUCAGGAAGGGUCAGGUUCUGAAUCUCCUCUAUAUGGGAGGUGAGGUUUAGCACAGGGUGGUUAGGGAGGCACAGCUUUCUAGAACCCAAAACCUUAAUAGGAUAAGAUGAAGGUGACCUUGCAGACCCAGGAAUGAAACAAGAGCCUUUGGAGUGAU
rnacentral:sRNA from 1 species